CCAGAUAUUAAAUUACUCAUAAAAUAUUCGGCCUGUUCCCCGAGCGCCGCCGCCGUUCGCCUCCCCGCGGAAGGUCAAGCUCCCCGGAGGAGAGGGGCCUCAGAAGACGAACCCCACUCCAUCUUGGGGGAUCUGGGAGCCUGGCAAGAAGGGGAGAGGAUCCUGUCUGUGACCCCCCGACUGGGGCCCCCAGCCUGGCCUGAGCCCAGCGCUGCUCCCCCAAACCCCUGGGGGCCACGGGCUCUGGGGAGCCCCUCAGGCCACCCACAGCCCACCGCGGCGCCACUCCAUGAAUACUUGCCCUGGCUCUUUCGAGAGCGCCACCUCACCCGCCAGCCUUCACCGCAGUCUCAGCCUGGUCACAAUUGUUCUAUCCGUUCCUGUUGAUCUCUCGCUAAGCCUAAUUUAUAAAUUAAACUUAACAUACGAAUGUACAGGGGGAAA